ACGUAGAGUUUGAUCCUGGCUCAGGAUGAACGCUAGCGGCAGGCUUAACACAUGCAAGUCGAGGGGUAACAGGGAAAAGCUUGCUUUUUUGCUGACGACCGGCGAACGGGUGCGUAACGCGUAUAGAAUCUGCCUUGUACAGGAGGAUAGCCUUUAGAAAUGAAGAUUAAUACUCCAUAGUGUAUAGAAGUGGCAUCACUUUUUUACUAAAGAUUUAUUGGUACAAGAUGACUAUGCGUCCUAUUAGCUAGAUGGUAAGGUAACGGCUUACCAUGGCUACGAUAGGUAGGGGGUCUGAGAGGACUAUCCCCCACACUGGUACUGAGACACGGACCAGACUCCUACGGGAGGCAGCA
rnacentral:rRNA from 1 species